AGAGUUUGAUCCUGGCUCAGGACGAACGCUGACGGUGUGCUUUAGGCAUGCAAGUCGAACGAGAAAGCCCUUCGGGGGUACACGAGCGGCGAACGGGUGAGUAACACGUGGGUGACCUGCCCUCAGCUCUGGGAUAAGCCUGGGAAACCGGGUCUAAUACCGGAUAUGACUCCAUGACGCAUGUUGUGGGGUGGAAAGCCUUGUGCGGCUGGGGAUGGGCCCGCGGCCUAUCAGCUUGUUGGUGGGGUGAUGGCCUACCAAGGCGACGACGGGUAGCCGGCCUGAGAGGGCGACCGGCCACACUGGGACUGAGACACGGCCCAGACUCCUACGGGAGGCAGCAGUGGGGAAUCUUGCGCAAUGGGCGAAAGCCUGACGGAGCAACGCCGCGUGGAGGACGACGGCCUUCGGGUUGUAAACUCCUUUUGUGGGGGACGAAACGGACGGUACCCCACGAAUCAGCCCCGGCUAACUCUGUGCCAGCAGCCGCGGUAAGACAGAGGGGGCAAGCGUUGUCCGGAUUUACUGGGCGUACAGCGCGCGCAGGCGGCGCGGUAGGUACCUGGUGACAUUCUCGUGCUCAACACGAGACGGUCUGGGUAGACCGCCGGGCUGGAGGCAGGGAGAGGGAUGUGGAAUACCCGGUGGAGCGGUGAAAUGCGUAGAGAUCGGGUGGAACACCAGUGGCGAAGGCGGCAUCCUGGCCCUGACCUGACGCUGAGGCGCGAUAGCGUGGGGAGCAGACGGGAUUAGAUACCCCCGUAGUCC
rnacentral:rRNA from 1 species